rnacentral:rRNA from 1 species
AGAGUUUGAUCAUGGCUCAGAACGAACGUUAGCGGCGCGCUUAACACAUGCAAGUCGUGCGAGAAAGGGGCAACCCCGGUAAAGCGGCGCACGGGUGAGUAACACGUAGAUAAUCUACCCCCAGGUGGUGGAUAACCUUCCGAAAGGAGGGCUAAUACAGCAUAAGACCACGGGUCCGCAAGGGCUUGAGGUCAAAGUCGGCCUCUUCAUGAAAGCUGGCGCCAGGGGAUGAGUCUGCGGCCCAUCAGCUAGUUGGUAGGGUAACGGCCUACCAAGGCGAAGACGGGUAGCUGGUCUGAGAGGAUGAUCAGCCACACUGGAACUGAGACACGGUCCAGACUCCUACGGGAGGCAGCAGUGGGGAAUCUUGCGCAAUGGGCGAAAGCCUGACGCAGCGACGCCGCGUGAGUGAUGAAGGCCUUCGGGUUGUAAAGCUCUGUGGAGGGGGACGAAUAAGUCGUGGCCAACAUCCACGAUGAUGACGGUACCCCUUUAGCAAGCACCGGCUAACUCUGUGCCAGCAGCCGCGGUAAGACAGAGGGUGCAAACGUUGUUCGGAAUUACUGGGCGUAAAGCGCGUGUAGGCCGCUCCAAAAGUCGGAUGUGAAAGCCCUGGGCUCAACCUAGGAAGUGCAUUCGAAACUGCGGAGCUUGAGUCCUGGAGAGGAAGGCGGAAUUCUCGGUGUAGAGGUGAAAUUCGUAGAUAUCGAGAGGAACACCGGUGGCGAAGGCGGCCUUCUGGACAGUGACUGACGCUGAGACGCGAAAGCGUGGGGAGCAAACAGGAUUAGAUACCCUAGUAGUCC